ACGUUAAUUUGAAACCAAAGAACUUACGAGGCGAUCUAUUGAAAAGAUGGCGUAUACCGAUUACAGCUUAAAUUUAAUUCGUUAUUUUAUUCGCAGCAUGUUUUUGUCAAAACCGUCUAUCAAAUUUCGUUUUAUUUAUUAGUCAAGUAAUGUAUAAUAGAAAAUUUGAAAAAGCUCCAUUUUCAACAGACGAGAUAUCUCAUCCAUUCUCCCAUUCAUGAAAGGAUACGGUAGCGUUUCUGACAUACGGUGUUCGUCUGCUAUUUUCGAGUAUCAGUUGGCGCGUUGAUAUAAGUGGCGGAAACUCGUGUUUUUUUUUUACGUUUGGAUAUAUAUUUUUUCAGUAAAAUGCUUUUAAAGAACGGGUAAAAAUGUGAAACAAAGGAGUAAAAUUGGAUCAUGUUUUUGUUGUGAAUUUAGUGCACAUUUCUUUAAGGGAAUAUAUAAAUAUAUAUUGUAAAACAAAGGAUCGCAAAUAAUAAUCAGAAAAAAUGGACGAAAAGACCGCAUCUUCUUUGCGGUUGGAGAAACGAUCGAAGGGGUCCAGGAAAUGUAGCCCCUGCUUGAAAGUUGGGGCGUGGCUCGCAGCAUGUGCGAUUUUAGUUGUGGUAGCCAUGGUGAUGGCAAUGACAUUAUGGACGCUCGUGUCGUACAAUCAGACAGUGACUAAGUUGCAAGAGCGUUUACAAAAAUUAGAAACAGAAGUAGAAAAUAGUAAAAAUAAUAUUGAACAUAUUGUAGAAGAAAAAGUAAAUGUUAUAUUAAAAGAGAGAUUCCAGACUUUAGAAGAUUCGCGACGGCGGAAGGAUCCAAAACGGGUUGUAAGACAAACAUGCAGUUGUCCUCAAGGUAGAGGAUUUGUAAUGCGUGGUAGAGGAUUUGUAAUGCGUGGACCUCAGGGACCUAAGGGUGAUCGGGGACUAAAAGGUUCGAAGGGUAACAGGGGUAAAAAGGGUGUGAAGGGAGAACGUGGGUACCCGGGAUUUCCGGGCCCAAUAGGUUUAAAAGGUUCGAUGGGAUUUCCAGGAUUAAAAGGCAGUAAAGGAGAUAUGGGACAAUCCGGGAAAAAAGGAGAAAAAGGUGACCCCGGUCUACCAGGAUAUGAUACCGUAGGACCAAAGUCGGGUCAAAAACGAUCACUUCGAAAAAUUGAUGAUGUCCGAGAUGGCUACGAAGUUGUCCAGCUUCAAAAACCAGCUGUGGAAGUCAUUACCAUAAAGGGCGAACCAGGCGAGCCGGGUAAACCGGGACCUCGUGGACCACCAGGGCCGCCUGGAGAGACUGGUCUGCCAGGGUUUGAUGUAGUGGGACCUCAAGGCCCACCGGGUCCACCAGGCCUACCAGGACCAAAGGGAGAGGACGGAAGACCUGGGGAACCUGGACGCGAUGGAAGACCUGGAGAUCCUGGAACAGUUGGAGAGAUAGGCCUGCCCGGGUCGCAAGGGCCGCCGGGUAUAGCAGGUCCUAAAGGAGAACCAGGGCUGAAAGGACGCAGAGGGACACGGGGAAAACGCGGUAAGAAGGGCAAAUGUAAAAAAGUAAAAGGUCCCCCGGGUGACGAGGGACCUAAAGGUCCAAAAGGGGACAACGGCCCGCCGGGACCUGAGGGUCCCAGGGGAGAGGUUGGCUCAUCAGGUAACACUGGCAGUCCAGGUCCCCAAGGGCCCCAAGGCAAGCCAGGACCCAAAGGGGAGCCAGGACCCGACGGACCAAUGGGACCGGAUGGACUUAUCGGAUCUCCAGGCCUUCCAGGACCACCAGGUGAGACGAUAGUUUUGGAAGGUGGAAGUGGCGAAGGGGUGAGUACACUCCCAGGGCCUCCCGGUCCACCAGGACCACCGGGUUCGAUGGGACUGCAAGGUCCGCCUGGAAUUAAGGGUGAUCGGGGACUUCUUGGACCAAAGGGAGAACCGGGUUCUAAAGGCGACGAUGGUGAUUUUGGACCAAUGGGAUUGCCGGGAACUGCAGGGCCCAUCGGAAAACAAGGAAGAGCGGGAGAACCUGGAGCUCCGAUAAAUAUGCUGAAAGAUUAUCUCCAUCUAUACAGUUGUUGUAGUGUUUUUGUUGUGACGUGAAUAUAUCAAUUAGAAAAUACAUUGUAUAUUAAUGAAGAAGGGCCACCGGGACCUCCAGGACCAGUAACCUCAGCACUAGAUGGCUCUUGUCAAUGUUCAAAGGGUGAAAAGGGAGACAGAGGACGAGAUGGAAAAAGAGGCAAACGCGGAAGGAAAGGAGAUAAGGGCGAUAGGG
rnacentral:misc_RNA from 1 species